GAUGAACGCUGGCGGCGUGCUUAACACAUGCAAGUCGAACGGUGAACGAGGGAGCUUGCUCCCUCCGGAUCAGUGGCGAACGGGUGAGUAACACGUGAGCAAUCUGCCCUGGACUCUGGGAUAAGCGUUGGAAACGACGUCUAAUACCGGAUACGAGGCGUGGGGGCAUCCCCAACGCCUGGAAAGAACUUCGGUCCAGGAUGAGCUCGCGGCCUAUCAGCUAGUUGGUGAGGUAACGGCUCACCAAGGCGACGACGGGUAGCCGGCCUGAGAGGGUGACCGGCCACACUGGGACUGAGACACUGCCCAGACUCCUACGGGGGGCAGCAGUGGGGAAUAUUGCACAAUGGGCGCAAGCCUGAUGCAGCAACGCCGCGUGAGGGACGACGGCCUUCGGGUUGUAAACCUCUUUUAGCAGGGAAGAAGCGAAAGUGACGGUACCUGCAGAAAAAGCACCGGCUAACUACGUGCCAGCCGCCGCCGUAAUAC
rnacentral:rRNA from 1 species